rnacentral:rRNA from 1 species
UCGAGUGCGAGCGUUAUCGGAUUUACUGGGCGUAAAGCCCGUGCGUAGGCGGCUUAUUAAGUCGGAUGUGAAAUCCCCGAGCUUAACUUGGGAAUUGCAUUCGAUACUGGUGAGCUAGAGUAUGGGAGAGGAUGGUAGAAUUCCAGGUGUCACGGUCUAAAGAUACAUUGGGAGACAACGCUUGGAAACGCAAAUCUGACAAUUCCGCCCUGCGAGAAAUGCAGGGUAGCCCCCAGACUAAUCCCGGAUCCAGGCGGAUCCAAGUCAACACGGUAGGGGCCUUUGGGUUUUUAGGCCCAACACUUUUUUAAUCACGCCGGGGAUACGCCCCACCUUUUUAGAUAGAGGAGAACCCCCC